rnacentral:ribozyme from 1 species
AUUUUUUUUUCCUUUAAAAAAAAAUACAUCGCACAGUCUGUGUCGUGAGAGAGAAAGGAAGAGAGGGAAAUUAGAGAAUAGAGGAAGAGAGUCAAUCAAUUGAAAACACUUAGUCAGUGAGACAGGUAACAAGCAAAACAAAACAACAA